rnacentral:rRNA from 1 species
AUUGAACGCUGGCGGCAGGCUUAACACAUGCAAGUCGAGCGGGGGGAGGUAGCUUGCUACCGGACCUAGCGGCGGACGGGUGAGUAAUGCUUAGGAAUCUGCCUAUUAGUGGGGGACAACAUCUCGAAAGGGAUGCUAAUACCGCAUACGUCCUACGGGAGAAAGCAGGGGGUCUUCGGACCUUGCGUUAAUAGAUGAGCCUAAGUCGGAUUAGCUAGUUGGUGGGGUAAAGGCCUACCAAGGCGACGAUCUGUAGCGGGUCUGAGAGGAUGAUCCGCCACACUGGGACUGAGACACGGCCCAGACUCCUACGGGAGGCAGCAGUGGGGAAUAUUGGACAAUGGGGGGAACCCUGAUCCAGCCAUGCCGCGUGUGUGAAGAAGGCCUUAUGGUUGUAAAGCACUUUAAGCGAGGAGGAGGCUACUUUAGUUAAUACCUAGAGAUAGUGGACGUUACUCGCAGAAUAAGCACCGGCUAACUCUGUGCCAGCAGCCGCAGUAA